rnacentral:rRNA from 1 species
UACGAAGGGGGCGAGCGUUGUUCGGAAUUACUGGGCGUAAAGGGCGCGCAGGCGGCUCUGAAAGUCAGAUGUGAAAUCCCCGGGCUCAACCUGGGAACUGCAUUUGUGACUGCAUCGCUGGAGUACGGCAGAGGGGGAUGGAAUUCCGCGUGUAGCAGUGAAAUGCGUAGAUAUGCGGAGGAACAUCGAUGGCGAAGGCAAUCCCCUGGACCUGUACUGACGCUCAUGCACGAA